AAACAGUCCCUCUGCUAUGGCUCUUCCUCAGUAGAAACAACUGGCAACAAAAUUCAAGUUUAUGAUUCAUUCAUCAGCAAACAUGUGAGAAUCAUCUACAAAGAACCAAGAAUUGUGGUCUGUUACAGAAGUCUCGGUUUACUUCAAUUUCUGUUCUGCUUCUCUCUUUGGCACCAUCAGGAAACCCUAGCCCCGUGUCUGUGAAAACUCCAAAGCUUAACAUUCUAACCACUCUAGGGAGGGAGGAUGGGAGGAAGAGAGCUGAGUGUGCACCAAGGAGCGGUAAGAUGCCAGACCUGUGAGUGAAGAAGCAUCUUGGAAGUGGACCCUAUAGCUCCAGGCACCUGCUGACACAUAGUCGGAGACAAACCACCCAGUCAAGUUCAACCCAAAUUCCUGACCCAAAAAAUCAUAAGCAAAAUAAAAUAUUUGUUUAAAGCCA
rnacentral:lncRNA from 1 species